AUAGUACUCCCUCCGUUUCAAAAUUCUUGUCUUACAUUUGUCUAGAAACGGAUGUAUCUAAUACUAAAAUGUAAUUAGAUACAUUCAUAUUUAGACAAAUCUAAGACAAGAAUUUCGAGACAGAGGGGGUAGAUC
rfam:Triticum aestivum genome assembly, contig: Triticum_aestivum_CS42_TGACv1_scaffold_605470_7DL